rnacentral:lncRNA from 12 species
AUGGUGGGGGAGGAGGUGCAGUGGCUUAGGGCCGGGACGUCUUUCCAAAGCACCGCUCCGCUGACCCUACCACCUUUGGCCUCUGCGACCAAAGAAGUGGCCCUGGUAGUUUGGGAGAGGGGGGGAGAGGGGGACUGGGGCGCCUACUCAGGCUCCGGCUGCUUUACCACAAGAAAGGAACUGGGUGAAGCAGCAGGAAUGGAGCCUCGGGCCCAGGCGCGGCAGCCCAGGAGGGGCCGGGCGGGAGCCGUGAGGCCUAGGACCCUAAUAGCUUUUGGCGUCUGGGAACUGCCCCAGGGACUGGCGUGGGGGGUAACGACCCAGGCUCCAGAGUGGCCUCUCCCGACGCAGAGCCAGGGAGCCCAGUCUCGGGAUGCCAGGUUUCGGGAAGGGAGACAGCAGGGCGCGCACUCUCGGCUUCCCGCGCCCCGACGCAGGAAGCCGGGUAGAGACACCCUUCCUCCCCCUUCCGCCGUCUCCCUCUCCCGAUCACCGGCGCUCAGGUGGCCAGGGCUUCCGUGCUCCCAGUCCCCAGGGGCCCAGGCCUCCGGUUGUCCCAGUCGCUCCAGUUUCUCCGGUCCCCCGUCUCGCCUUUCCGCCCAGUUGUCGUUCGGCCGGGGCCCUAAGCUCCUCGGAUUCUUUAGGACCACCUCCCCCGAGGCCAGCGGGGGCUGCGGCGAGUUCGGGGCGCUGCUUUUCGAGAGGAUCCCCGGGGCGCGCGCCCCUCGCCGCCCCGACCCUGGCUCCUACCUCGAGGCUGUGCUCGGGCUCCGGGCUCGGCAGGCUGGCGCGCUACCGACGGUUGCUCAUGGGCCCUGCGCGCCGGCGGGCUCUCCAGCGGCGAGGGGCCGGAGCCGAGGACAAGCGGGGGCCGCGACCAGCCCCGGCGGCGGGCGGCGGGCGGCGGGCGGCGGAGGAGCGGCGGGCCGGCGGGAGGGCGGCGGGAGGGCGGCGGGCGGGCGGGAGCCUGGGAGCGAGCGAGCGAGCGAGGCCAGCUCCGCCCGUGACUCACCCGCGCUCUCUGCCUUCAUCCUCUGCCCUGCGCUCCUUUUUCCCCCGAGUCCGCGGCCCCGCCCACCUCACCUGCCGCCGCCUUUAACCCUUGCGGGCUCGGCCGGACCCGAGGCCGGGGCGGCCGGGCCGGCGGAGAGGGGGCGGGCUCGCAUGCCGGGUCGCCUCCCGCCCCUCCCUCGCUCCUCCCCGGCCCCUCGGCUCCCCGGGCGGGGGUCAAGGGCGGAGCGAUUCCCAGGCUCCGAGACCCGCCCUUCGCGAGCAGAAUUCCCCCGGAACCUGGCGAGGCUGUCGGGGGACGCGGGAUUCAGACCCCGGGGGCCAGGAGAAGGGGGCGGGGUCCCGGGGUGA